UACGUAGGGUGCGAGCGUUGUCCGGAAUUAUUGGGCGUAAAGAGCUCGUAGGCGGCUUGUCGCGUCGGAUGUGAAAGCCCGGGGCUUAACUCCGGGUCUGCAUUCGAUACGGGCAGGCUAGAGUUCGGUAGGGGAGAGCGGAAUUCCUGGUGUAGCGGUGAAAUGCGCAGAUAUCAGGAGGAACACCGGUGGCGAAGGCGGAUCUCUGGGCCGAUACUGACGCUGAGGAGCGAAAGCGUGGGGAGCAAACGGG
rnacentral:rRNA from 1 species